AACGAACGCUGGCGGAGUGCUUCAGACAUGCAAGUCGUACGAGAAACUCUCCUUCGGGAGAGGAGUACAGUGGCGCACGGGUGAGUAACGCGUGGAUAAUCUGCCUUCGGGUUUGGGACAACUCCGGGAAACUGGAGCUAAUACCGAAUGAGACCACAGAGCCUCCGGGUUCAGUGGUCAAAGAUGGCCUCUUCUUGAAAGCUAUCGCCCGAAGAUGAGUCCGCGUCCCAUUAGCUUGUUGGUGAGGUAACGGCUCACCAAGGCACCGAUGGGUAGCUGGUCUGAGAGGAUGAUCAGCCACACUGGAACUGAGACACGGUCCAG
rnacentral:rRNA from 1 species